AGAAUGUACACUUCCUUCUCUUAUAACAACCCAACGACACAGCUUAACUGCAGUCUAUUCUCCAAGCUUCUCAAGUGAUGCCCCAAUAACAUACACCAGAAUAAAAGCUUUGCUAGGUAAUCCCGAGAAGUGCCUACAGUGUCACAAAACUCAUUGCCAGCAUCUGCAAGUUUCUCUAAAUCUGCCACACUCGAAUCCUCAACGAAAGUAGAGCUAGCAUCAUCUUUGAAAAACCUUUGCAAUAUGUUUCCAACAAGCUCGUGAAUGAUUU
rnacentral:misc_RNA from 1 species